rnacentral:rRNA from 1 species
UGGAUUAGUGGCGAACGGGUGAGUAACACGUGGGUGAUCUGCCCUGCACUCUGGGAUAAGCCUGGGAAACUGGGUCUAAUACCGGAUAGGACCUUCGGCCGCAUGGCUGGGGGUGGAAAGUUUUUCGGUGCAGGAUGAGCCCGCGGCCUAUCAGCUUGUUGGUGGGGUAAUGGCCUACCAAGGCGACGACGGGUAGCCGGCCUGAGAGGGCGACCGGCCACACUGGGACUGAGACACGGCCCAGACUCCUACGGGAGGCAGCAGUGGGGAAUAUUGCACAAUGGGCGCAAGCCUGAUGCAGCGACGCCGCGUGAGGGAUGACGGCCUUCGGGUUGUAAACCUCUUUCACCCAUGACGAAGCGCAAGUGACGGUAGUGGGAGAAGAAGCACCGGCCAACUACGUGCCAGCAGCCGCGGUAAUACGUAGGGUGCGAGCGUUGUCCGGAAUUACUGGGCGUAAAGAGCUCGUAGGCGGUUUGUCGCGUCGUCUGUGAAAACCCGCAGCUCAACUGCGGGCUUGCAGGCGAUACGGGCAGACUCGAGUACUGCAGGGGAGACUGGAAUUCCUGGUGUAGCGGUGAAAUGCGCAGAUAUCAGGAGGAACACCGGUGGCGAAGGCGGGUCUCUGGGCAGUAACUGACGCUGAGGAGCGAAAGCGUGGGUAGCGAACAGGAUUAGAUACCCUGGUAGUCCACGCCGUAAACGGUGGGCGCUAGGUGUGGGUUUCCUUCCACGGGAUCCGUGCCGUAGCCAACGCAUUAAGCGCCCCGCCUGGGGAGUACGGCCGCAAGGCUAAAACUCAAAGGAAUUGACGGGGGCCCGCACAAGCGGCGGAGCAUGUGGAUUAAUUCGAUGCAACGCGAAGAACCUUACCUGGGUUUGACAUGUACCGGACGACUGCAGAGAUGUGGUUUCCCUUGUGGCCGGU